CUCUCCUAAAUCCAAUUUACACCUGUGCACUUAACUUUGAAAGGGAGGGUAAAACCUGCCUUCGAAAUCUUUAAACUCUUAUAUAACGAAUGUUUAUCUGCCGCAAGGCAAAAUUUAAUACAACUUUUAACAACGGAUCUCUUGGCUCUCGCAUCGAUGAAGAACGCAGCGAAAUGCGAUAAGUAAUGUGAAUUGCAGAAUUCAGUGAAUCAUCGAAUCUUUGAACGCACCUUGCGCUCCCUGGUAUUCCGGGGAGCACGCCUGUUCGAGUGUCAUGAAACUCUCAAGCAAGAUAGAUUUAUUUCUAUCUCUGUUUGGAUAUGGACUCUGCCGCGUCAAUGCGGCUGGUCUUAAAUAUAUUAGCUGGUCCUAGUGAAGGUUUGGUUCUACUCAGCAUGAUAAUUAUCUGAUGUUGAGGACAGUCUUAGGACUGGCCAGGCUCUCUCUGGAUUGCUUCUAAUCGUCUUUGGACAAUUAAUCAAUAUCUGACCUCGAAUCAGGUGGGACUACCCGCUGAACUUAAGCAUAUCAAUAAGCGGAGG
rnacentral:rRNA from 1 species